AGGUUGACCUCGGAUCAGGUAGGGAUACCCGCUGAACUUAAGCAUAUCAAUAAGCGGAGGAAAAGAAACCAACAGGGAUUGCCUCAGUAACGGCGAGUGAAGCGGCAAGAGCUCAAAUUUGAAAUCCGGCCCCCCUGGGGGCCUGAGUUGUAAUUUGCAGAGGAUGCUUCGGGUGCGACCGCGGUCCAAGUCCCCUGGAACGGGGCGUCGUAGAGGGUGAGAAUCCCGUCUCCGGCCGGCCGGUCUCGCCCGUGUGAAGCUCCUUCGACGAGUCGAGUUGUUUGGGAAUGCAGCUCCAAAUGGGUGGUAAAUUUCAUCUAAAGCUAAAUACUGGUCGGAGACCGAUAGCGCACAAGUAGAGUGAUCGAAAGAUGAAAAGCACUUUGAAAAGAGAGUUAAACAGCAUGUGAAAUUGUUGAAAGGGAAGCGCUUGCGACCAGAGUCGGCCGCGGGGGUUCAGCGGGCAUUCGUUGCCCGUGCAAUCCCCCGCGGCCGGGCCAGCGUCGGUUUCGACGGCCGGUCAAAGGCCCCCGGAAUGUGUCGCCUCUCGGGGCGUCUUAUAGCCGGGGGUGCAAUGCGGCCAGUCGGGACCGAGGAACGCGCUCCGGCACGGACGCUGGCUUAAUGGUCGUCAGCGACCCG
rnacentral:rRNA from 1 species